rnacentral:tRNA from 1 species
CAAAGGGUAGUUUAAUUUUAAAAUUCUGGCUUUGGGAGCCAAAAAUAGAGGUUAAAAUCCUUUCUCUUUGA